AAAUUGGGUUAUUGGAUGAAAGAGGUGGGGUUUGAACUGGACCUUGUCAAUGGAGAUGAUUUGUUAGUGGUCAUCCUAACCGGAUGAUUGCCUAAACAAACACACAGAGCUGAAUGACUAUGCAUUUGUCAAAUUCUAACCUCAGAGGCUGCCUACCUACAUCAUCUGUGGGGGUGGUGGCGGUGGUAGUGAUGGUAGUGGCACAUAUUAAAGCUACAAAACAGUGGACUAGAAGGCCAAGCACAUUUCCAGGGAUGGAGGGGAGGCAAGGAAAUGGACAAAUAUGCCAUAGGCCAGAAACCAGAAACACGCUUGUUAGGAAGAAGCUCUGUACAAGGACAUUCAGCCCUUCUAUCAGCAGACAGGUUGGCAGGAAAGAACAUGUGGAGUGGAGAGAAAGUUCCAGGUGUUACCUUAUAUGGUCUGUGGAGAUCAUAUCAUAGAAACAAAGGAAAAAUGAAGAAAAAUUAGAUUUUACACUUACUACUGACAGACUUUAUUUUGGGGGGCUCAAAAAUCACUGCAGAUGGUGGCUAUAGCCAUGAAAUUAAAAGAUGCUUGCUCCUUGGAAGAAAAGUUAUGACCAACCUAGACAGCAUAUUAAAAAGCAGAGACAUUACUUUGCUAACCAAGUUUCGUCUAGUCAAAGCUAUGGUUUUUCCUGUAGUCAUGUAUGGAUAUGAGAGUUGGACUAUAAAGAAAGCUGAGCACCGAAGAAUUGAUGCUUUUGAACUGUGGUGUUGGAGAAGACUCUUGAGAGUCUCUUGGAGAGCAAGGAGAUCCAACCAGUCCAUCCUACAGGAAAUCAGUCCUGAAUAUUCAUUGGAAGGACUGAUGCGGAAGCUGAAACUCCAAUACUUUGGCCACCUGAUGUGAAGAACUGAUUCAUUUGAAAAGACCCUGAUGCUGGGAAAGAUUGAAGGUAAGAGGAGAAGGGGGAUGACAGAGGAUGAGAUAGCUGGAUGGCAUCACCGACUCAACAAACAUGAGUCUGAGUAAAGUCCGGGAGUUGGUGAUGGACAGGGAGGCCCGGCAUGCUGCAGUCCAUAGGGUUGCAAAGAGUCAGAUGUGACUGAGCGACUGAACUGAACUGAGCUGUACAUUAGGAAGAAAUAAGGGAUCAAACCGCA
rnacentral:lncRNA from 1 species